GGAUCUUUUUUAAAUAAUUUUAUUUACUAUUCGUUUCUUUUCAUUUAUAUUAUAUCUCGAUAAUCAAGCUUGCAAAGACAAAUUUUGAGCAGAGUAUGCUACUAAUUUUUGAUGGCAAGAAUAUAACACUAUAACUCAAUUUGAAUCAUUGUCAGUUAUAGACAUAUACAUAUUAAUCAUUUUAUAUUAACCUUUUGAAGAUGAGAACUUUCUAACAAUAGGUUAUUUAUAGAAAACAUUGUUUUUUGAAGGCUUUUUACAAUCGUUGAAUUCCAUUCUAAACUCAAAACUCUUAAGUUCAGUACUAAAUUUCUAAAGUUCAAAAUUUAAUUUGAACGAAUUUUGCAUAUAUUCUGUUUAUAACAAAACUCGAUUUUUAAGAGUUUACAAGAUUAUUAAAUUUAAAAUGAAUGUAAUCUAAAAAUAUUAAAAUUUAAAAAAGUAACUUUCAGUGAAGGAGAAAUUUGUGUUCAUAAUCAUAUUAUCCCCUUCUCCUCUACAAAAAUUAUAAAUGUUUUAUUUUUCAUCUGUUACAUUAUAAAAAAAUUUGUAUUCCGAUAACUGAAAAGUUUGUUGGUUAAUUUUCGCGCGUAACACUCUGUAACUAUUGCAUGAUUUGAAUAUCCAGUAAUUAAUUUUUUUAAUUUAGCUGCACGUAAUUCUUAAAGAGUGACAAGAAGAUAAGUUUUACAUUCACAAUUUGUAAUAUAAAAAAGUUCAUGCUUUUUUAUUCUGUUCCAGGCGUAUGGUAAUGUGCAAUCUGCGCAAAUAAUUUACAAAAAUGAUAGGCAGCCUUUUCUAUUAGCCAGUUCUUCCGAUUCAUCGCCAUCUAUACCUUCCUAUAAUGUCAACAGCGGCAGAAAUAAUCUUUUAAAUAGGACAGAGUUCUCAUGUUCGUCAGCAGUGUCAUUAAAUUCACCGAUUGCUGUAAACAGUGAAGAAACCAUCAUAAAAAGUGAAGAGUGUGAAUUUUCUUCAGAAGUGGACGUCAAAGACUUUAUUGUUGACCGUGCUCUACAAUUCGAACACGAAAUUGAAAGAGAAAUCCCAGACACUUCACAUGACCCCAAACGUUUCGCUUCCGAAACUGUGCAAACUGUUCCACUUGAAGCAUCGGAAGAUAGUACUCAACAGCUAUCGGCCAAUGAUCCUGAGAAUAAAAAUCCCUUAUUGAUCCUGUUACGAAAAAAUGGACCGCAGUGUCAAAAACUUGUCGAUAACUGUCAUCGCAACGACAUGGUGCCGGAAGGAAAGGAUAUAAACUUGAUUGCCAGAAUUACUAUUAAACACUUGAUUAGCUUGGCCACUCCUCCAAAACAAAAAUUAAAGACGUCAGUCCUUGUACAGUGGGCCAAGUACUUCAAGCAUCUUUUCCCGAAAACACCGGCGUCCUCCUUUUAUGCCUUUAAGUACGAAUCAUGUAGAUCACUAUAAUUCAGAAGAAAAGAGCGGAAGGAGCACUGCAGGUUCAACUCUUCCAAGAACGGAAGAAAUUAAUCAAAGAAGACCGAGCUGUUCUUCUCAGAUGUCCAAAAGCAAACCGUAUCGGCAGCAACAAAAUUCCAGGUCCUUCGAGCAACACACCUAUUAACAGAAAUAUCUGGAGACUCGUCAGUCCGCAGAAAAGAGACGAGGUGCGGCCUUGCGACAAGGACUCGAUAGAAAUCGAUUCGAAAUUGCAAUGGCACUUAAAUUAUUUACGCAAUCAAUUGCAUAACAAGCUUGCCUCGCAAUUGGUAACCUCUUGGAAAGCUAUUUUUAACUACAGAUUCGAACGACUUGUAAAUCAGCCGGGAACUGUGUGGGAUUAUUUAAAUAAAUUUCCAUUGUUGAAAAUCGAAGGCAUUGGAAAGGCUUUAGACAAAAAGAAAAUUAACUUGAUUCAAAUAACUCUUAUAUUACUUUCUUUUACAAUAUCGCUGAGCAAAAAGAAACCACAGUGAAAAAGAGAAGCCUAAUAGAUGAUUUGAUGAAAAACAUCGCUAAUAGAAUUAUGAGCACAUGACGAAAAGAUCUAGUCUAGUUUUCACUUUGCCGAAAAAAUAACCAUACGACGAUGACGAAAAGACGUCUUUUUAUGUUGUCUUUUAGUAUUUUGUGUAUUUUAGUAUUUUGUGCUGUUUGAGUAUUGCUCCUCACAUUAUGAUAAAUAUGUUUUAUAUGUGUAGAUUUGUAAGGAUUUCGAACAACUAUAUCCAAACUCCAUGGCAAAAAGCUCGGGAAAGUUAGCUGAAAAGUUAAACGAUCAUAGACUUGCAAUUAUCAAAACGGCCAAAAUAGUUCUUAAAAGAACAACCCAAAAAGAAUAUAAAAAUAGAAUUACUGUGUUCCUUGAUUUGGCUGAACGUAAGUUUUACUUUACCAUAUAAUAAAAGUGUGCGAAUAGUUUGAAUCGAGUCGAAUAAAAUCACAAUAGAUUCCAAUCACAAUAGAUUCGAAUUCGUUUUCGAAUCUAAAAGAUUUGAGUACGAAUAGUUCGAGAAUCAUUGAUGUUUCGAAUUUAAACCAAUUGUCUAUUUUGAUUGCUUUAUUUGUAUCUACCGCAAAACCCCAAUGAUGUAUAUGCGCAUACCAAUUCUUAUGCAUAAUUGUUUGUCGAUUUCCAAGACUUUUCUACUGUUCCUAAAAUUUAUAGAAUAUUCAAUUCAAAACUAUGCGUAUGCAAUAAAUGAUACUCGUCUUCGUAAAUUUAUAUCAACAUUUCAUAAGAUCAGAAUGUUUACAUCAUAAAUUUGCAAUUAUGAAUUUUGAAACAAAACUUGAAAUCGAUUACAUUUUUGUAUAAAGUGCACUAAGGUACUUUAAUAGUAACAUUAUAAUUUAUCUGCUAUAUAUCUAAUGCUUAUAAAAUAUAAACAUGAUAUUUGGUAACAUCACUAAUAGACAGCUAAUUUUUUGUAUCUUUCAAACAUACUGGGUAUAUAUUUAUUAACUUAUAAGAAAUGCUUAUUUACAUAUGCAUUUAUCAACAUAAUACUUGCACACAUUUGUUGUUUAGUAUCUAACAUAAAUUUAUAUUUAGCAUAUGAUUUUCGUAAUUGUUUUAUAAAAUUCCUGCACUAUUUAAUUUUUCUUCUAUUUAAAAGAAAAAUAAUGUUAUUAAAAAUACUUUCUUACAUUUAAAUUAUCAUAUAUAAUGUAAUUCUGAGAAACAUUAAUGAAAAUUGAAUUCGAUUCGUAUUCGAAUCGUAGAAAUUUGAUUCGAUUUGAUUCAACAUGAAAAUUUCAAAUUCAAUUUCAAAUAUGUUACGAUUCGAUUCGAUUUUACAAAUGUUUAAUUCGUAUGCCUAAGCAUUCAUAUCUUUAUGUUAGUGUAACAAUUGAAACUAUAUACCAGCCUUACAAAAGAAAAAUUAUAAGAAUAGGAAAAAAUUACUGAUAUGCAAUUCUUUAAUAAUAAUUUUUUACUAAUAAUUCUUGCUGGUAGUCCUGAUUUU